rnacentral:rRNA from 1 species
AAACUUUCAACAAUGGAUCUUUUGGUUCCGGCAUCGAUGAAAAACGCAGCGAAAUGCGAUAACUAAUGUGAAUUGCAGAAUUCAGUGAAUCAUCGAGUCUUUGAACGCACAUUGCGCCCCCUGGUAUUCCGGGGGGCAUGCCUGUCCGAGCGUCAUUU